rnacentral:lncRNA from 1 species
GCGCCGGGAGUAGCCGAGCCGCUGGGUGCUGGGCGGGGUCUCCGGGCGCGGCGCGGGGGGAAGGCAAAGGAAAAGAAGGGGCGGCGGGCCGACGUCGGCGGCGAGGAAGGACGGAGGAGCGCCGGAGCCGCUUUGCUGCCCUCCGCGUGGUCCCGUGCCUCCCCGACACCAUGGCCCUGGCUGAGGUAGUAGUUUGUGCUGUUGGUCGGGUUGUGACAUUGCCCGCUGUGGAGAUAACUGCGCAAGCUACUGCCUUGCUAGUGCUGGUGAUGCUCAGCGCCGCGGAGGACAAUGGCUGGGAAUCCCCUUUGUUUUCCGGGGCGCUGCCUGGGGACAGCCCGCGAAGCCUCGGCGCCCGGCCGGCGCGGCCACCACGGAAACCAAUGUUCCAUAAUAAAAACUCAAAAACACGUAAAACAAGACAAAGAAAGAUUCCUGUGGUUUGGAGACAACCAAAGCAAAGUGAGAACACAUACAAAACCAUGUGAAGGUCAGUAAGGUGCAGCUAAGUGUUCUUAGGGUAUCCUCCCAGGCCACUUUGAAAUACUACCUUGAAGUCUAUCAGAGGAUCAGUCCAUUUUCCUUAUACUCCAGAUCAAAUAUAUUGACUAAUAUAGUGCAAGUUCACACAUACCCACAACAAGGAUACCAUUGUUUAAAUAUAUCUAUUAUAAUUAAAACUAGUAAUUAGAAUUAAUAAGAGAUGUGUUGAGAACUUUUACUAAGUACUUUGUAUGUAUAAAGUACUUGCUUUAAUGUUAGCCUAUUAAACUUAAUAACUUUCCAUUUUAAAUAUUAUUUUUCUAGUUCCAUAGUCUUUUUCUAGAAGUAUGCCUUAUUUCACAUUCUUAAACAAGUACUCUAAGCAAAAUCAGCUCACUAAAAAAAUUUGUUUGGCUUUAACUGCUUUCAAUAAGCUUAGUUCUGUUUUUCCUCUUUUAUUUUGUUAUUCCUCCUGUCUAACUGAAACUUUGUACCCUUUAGCCAACAUCUCCCCAGUACCUUACCCCCUCUGUCUAUAAGCCCCUGGUAACACUAUUCUCUCCUUUCUGCUUCUCUGAGUUUGACUUUUUUAUAUUCCACAUAUAAAUGAGAUCAUGUAGUAUUUGUCUUUCUAUGCCUGGCUUAUUUAGUGUAAUGUCCUCCAAGUUUAAACAUGUCGUUGCAAAUGAUAGAAUGUUUGUCCUUUUAAAUGGAACUCUAAUAAUUGUUCUAGCAAUUUAUUCGAUUUUUUGUUUCCAGUUAGAUUCCUUUUUUCUUAACCUUCUUUGUGUGUGUGUGUGUGUGUGUGUGUGUGUGUGUGUGUGUUUAGACAGGGUCUCACUGUCAUCCAGGCUGGAGUGCAGUGGCGUGGUCACAGCUCACUGCAACCUUCAACUCCCAGGCUCAAGCGAUCUUUCCACCUCAGCCUCCUGAGUAGCUAAGACUACAGGCACACGCCACCACCCCUGGCUAAUUUUUGUAUUUUUUGUAGAGACAGGGUUUUGCCAUGUUGCCCAGGCUGGUCUCAAAACUACAGGGCUCAAUUGAUCGCCCACCUCCGUCUCCCAAAGUGCUGGGAUUAUAGGUGUGAGCCACCGCGCCCAGCCCCCAUCAAUAUAUGUUAACACUUAGCAGUUAGUUCAUUGUGCAUCUACAUAUUACCAGUGUUAUUAAUCUAAUUUAAAUAUUUAACUGAGUGCUGUUACUGCUUUGAAUAUAUUAGCACACUACAAAGGUAAAAAAAUAUAACCAACCUGUGGAUCAAAAGAAACAAUGAUUUUGCAUUUUACUAAGCACAGAAAUUAUCAUGUUUUUGAAUGUGUACCACAAAUGCCAGGCAUACACACACAUAUAUAAAUAAGGUUGAAGGAGGCCGGGCGCGGUGGCUCACGCCUGUAAUCCCAGCACUUUGAGAGGCCGAGGCAGGUGGAUUACUUGAGGUCAGGAAUUCGAGAGCAGCCUGGCCAACAUGGUGAAACCUGGUCUCUACUAAAAAUACAAAAAAUUAGCCGGGCAUGAUGGUGCAUGCCUGUAGUCCCAGCUACUGGGGAGGCUGAGGCAGGAGAAUCGCUUAAACCCCAGAGGUGGAGGUUGCAGUGAGCUGAGAUCGUGCCACUGCACUUCAGCCUGGGUGACAGAGUGAGACUCUAUCUAAAAUAUAUAUAUAUAUAAGGUUGAAGGAAUAAACACAUUGAAGCAUUAUUACAAAUAUAAGAUACUUUUUUUUCUUUUCUUGUUUAAAAAUAAAUAGAGGCAGGGUCUCACUUUGUUGCCCACGCUGGUCUUGAGCUCCUGGGCUCAAGUGAUCCUCCUGCCUCAGCCUCCUAAAGUGCUAGGAUUACAGGCGUUAGCCACCACACUUGGCCAAGAGAGUUCUUUCAAAUUUACCAAUAUUAUCACUAUUAAAUAGCUUUUAUUUUGAAGUAUAUAUCCUAGUGACUUUUUAACUUCAUAUAUCUUAUCCUGUAUAUACGUAGUGAAUCACUAUCUGGACUCAUUAGUUAGACGUUGAACUUAGCCGUGACCUUAUCUACUACAUACAUGGGCAUUUUCUGUUGUUAUUAACCCUGGGACUUAAGUUGCCUUAGAAAUAUUAAUGAUAAUUGCUAUAUGUAUAGAUGUUACCACUAAUAUCUUUAGUAUUCUCUGCUGACUAUCCAUGAACCCUGUGGAGUUUAUUAUGCUGGAAGUCACAGUGUAUUCCUUAAACCCUUCUGAUUCUGCCUUAUGGCCUCCUCCCUUGUUGAGUAUCUUCUUAAAAGGAAUCAGAAACCACUCUUCCCACAUUCUCCAAUAGUCAAGUCACACCAUGAACACGGUUCCAAGAAGCGGAAAGGUCCUCUACCACUUCAAGGAAAUUAGGAAGAAAAAAAAAGAGAGAAAAACAACGUGUUGUUCCAGAAGGUAGUAUGCAAGUUCUCAAAUGACCUCUAGGCAUUUUGGUUCAAGGUCCAUCUUUUUCCUUUAUCAUGUCACUCUUCUUUUUUCCUAUUAAAGAAUAAUUUUUAUAUCUUUUUAUGUGACUGGUAAAAAUAAUAUUCCCCUUCUCCAAAAGUCAUGGUCAGUUAGCUAUAUAAAGGUAGUUGGUAAUGAAACUUCAUGUUCUUGUGGUUUUUAAAAUACAGAGUCUCACUCUGUUGCCAAGGCUGGAGUGCAGUAGCAUGAUCAUGGCUCACUGCAGCCUCGACUUCCUGGGCUCAAGUGAUCCUCCUGCCUCAGAGCCUUGAAUAACUGGGACUACAGGUGCACAUCACCACAUCCAACUAAUUUUUAAAAUUUUUUGUGGAGACAGAGUCUCACUCUGUUGCCCGGGCUGGUCUUGAACUCCUGAGCUCAAGUGAUUCUCCCAUCUCAGCCUCCCAAAGUGCUGGGAUUACAGAUGUGAGCCACCAUGCCCAGCCUUGUUUUUUUUGUUUUUUGUUUUUUGUUUUUAAUGUAAGAAAAGGUAAGAAAAAUAUGGUGGUGGUCUUACAGGUACAUAUGUGGUUUAUGCACUGUGAAGCUGUUGAAAGGAGUGGAUGAUGAUGAAAUGCAUGCAGUUGAGCUAGGCUCAGUGGAAAGUCAUGUUGGGGAACAGAUGGAGUUUUGAAGUGCUAAGAGAAUGAUUUAAUGAAACUGGGGUCAUAAAAUUGCUAGAAAGAAUGUAGGCUGAUUUCUUCCAGAAUUUAAAGGCUCUGGGAAUAGGAAGCCAGAAGAGUAAGAACAGAAACAGAUCAGCUUGAACACCAGAGUUGCGCCUUUGGAUGAACUCUGGGGAAAGGGUAUGUUUUCAGAGAAAAAUAAAAAAGGAUCUGGGAUCAUUUACUCUAUCAUUUGUUUAACAAUUAUUAGUGUGUGUGUGUGUGUAUGUGUGUGUAUAUAUAUAUAUUUUUUGAGAUGGAGUCUAGCUCUAUUGCCCAGGCUAGAGUGCAAUGGUGCGAACUCGGCUCACUGCAACCUCUCUCUCCCUCCUAGGUUCAAGAGAUUCUCCUGCCUCAGCCUCCCAAGUAAUUGGAAUUACAGGCCCAUGCCACCCCACCCGGCCAAUUUUUUUUGUAUUUUUAGUAGAGAUGGGGUUUUGCCAUGUUGGCCAGGCUGGUCUCAAACUCCUGACCUCAAGUGAUCCGCCAGCCUCGGCCUCCCAAAGUGCUGGGAUUACAGGCACGAGCCACCAUGCCGGACCUAUUAGUGUAUUUACUGGAUAUCAAGAUGACUAAGAAAUAGCACUUGCCUUGAAGGAGCUUUUCUAUUUGAGGAAAAAGACAUGUAUAUAAAUAACUGCAAACAGAAUGAAACAAGUGUUAUGUAGAUCUACAUACAGUGACAUGCCAUGGGAAUGCUGAACACUGAGCAACAGUUUCAACUAGCGAAUUGGCACAGGAAACAUGAAAAAUAAGCGUAUUUUCAAUAUGACAAGAAUGGUCAUUUCUGGAUAUAAGAACAAGAGAAAAGUCAUGGGUAUAUGGAAAGGCAUGGACUCUUCAAGGAAGAGCAAGUAGUCUAAUGUAGAUGCUGUAUAGGAAUCUGGGGACAAAGGGACAGAUAAGUGGUGUAGACAAAGAGGCUGGAAAUAGGGUUAUGGGCUAGAUCAUGAGUGACCUGUAAGCAUUAGGAGUUUUGAUUUAUUUUGGAAUAAGAAACAUUUAUGGCUUUUGAGAAGGAAAAUUACACAAGGGAAAAGAAAGGAUUUUUAUUUUUUAUUUUUAUUUUUGGAGAGAUGAGAUCUCACUAUGUUGCCCAGGCUGGUCUUGAACUCCUGAACUCAAGCAAUCCUCCCGGCUCGGCCUCUGAAACUUCUAGGAUUAUAGGCGUGAGCCACUACGCCCAGCCAGGAUUAUGUUUUUUUAUGGGAGGGAUGAGAAUAUUGGUAGGUGGGUAGAGGAUAAAUGAGAGAGAAUAUGUAUAUGUGAGAUUGAAUAUAUAAUAGAAAAAAUUGAUAGGACAAGUCCUGCGUUAUUACUACAUUUUAUGAGGAAAAUCUAUAUAUUAGAAGCACUUUAAAGGUAUAUUUGCUAUUCUAGCUGUGGAAACCAUCUGAAAACACAUUUGAAAGUGCUUUGAAACAGGGGUCAACUUCUCUGCAAAGGGCCAGAGUAUGUUUAGCUUUGCGGGCCACAGAUGGCCUCUGUUGCAUAUGCUGCUGGGUCUCCACCUUCCUCCUCCUUUUCUUCCCUUCCUCUUCCUUCUUUUUCUUCUUCUCUUUCUUCUUUCUCUUUAAAAGCAUAAAAUCAUUCUCAGCUCUUGGGCCAUACAGAAACAGGCCAUAGGCCAGAUUUGACUUCUAGGCCAUAGUUUGCCGACCCUCCAUUUUAGAACUUAGCUUUCCUGAAAGAGCAUUUGGGUCUCUCUCUCUCUUUCCCUUUCUCUCUCUCUGUCUCUCUCUCUCUCUCUUUCAGUAAGUGAAGUAAGAAAUAGGUCUUUCUUGAGGAACAAAAAGCUGAAAUAAUUUCAUGCAUUUGAAUAUGACCCUUGACCUGUUUUUGUCCAUCAUCACUCAGAUUUGUGGCUGCAACCACCAACCAAUUUGGUGCCAUAGGAUAUAGCAUAAUUUUUCAGCAACAGUUCAUAAGCUUUUCUUUUUGUUCUUUUUCCUUCUUCCAGUUGUGGUGGUUUAAAAACAUGUCUGCAAAAUCUUUGACACUUCUCAGUAAAAAAUAUAGUCUUGUGUUCCCUUUUCUUGAACCUAAGUGGCCUUUGUGCUGCCUCAACAAAUAGAAUAUGACAGAAAAGACACUAUGUGACUUUUGAGACAGGGUCAUAAGAGGUGAUACAGCUUCCCCAUGCCCCUGCAUUUUAGAGCUCUGGGUUGCCAUGUAAGAAUAGCUACCCUGAAGCUACCAUGCUGAAGAGACCACAGGGAAAUCACAUAGAGUUAGAAAGAGGUGUCUGAAGAAGCCCAGCUGCUCCCAAUCCCAGCUAUUUAAGUCCUCCCAGACCAGGUGCCAUAUAUAUGAGUGAGCAAGCCUUCAGAUGGUUCCAGCACCAGCCACCAUCUAGCUGUAAGCUCAUGAGACCCCUUCAACGAAAACCAUCUAGAUUAGCUUAGUCAAGCCCCAGAACCGUGAAAGACAAUAGACUUGCUAUGGAGGUCGCCACAUGCCUCUUUUUUCUCCCUUUGUGAAUGGGAUUAUUUAUAAUGGUUACCCCAUACCUACUCCACUAUGUAUAUUGGGUAUGAGGGAGAGAUAAUUUGUCUCACUAGCUGACAGAUUUUUCAGACCUCAAGGAAUGCCACGUGAGCUGUACUCACAGGACCACACACAAGUAUCUUUAUCCACACGUGACCUGAUUUCACUGAUAAAGUCCUGGACCUUGAGCCUGAGCCCAAUGUCUUAAUAAAUGAGAAUUUCAGAAGGUCUUGGGAGGGGGUGAGUAUAUUUUGCAUGUGGGAAGGAUGUAAAUAAUAUGUGGCCUGAGAGCAGAUUAUGGUGGUUUGAAAAUGUGUCCACCAAUUCUUUAAUACUACUCUCAACAAGAGGUGGAAUCUGUGUCUCUUCCUUUGGAACAUGAGUGGACCUUUGUGAUUAAAUGCAGCAGAAGGAUGCUGUGUGAACUCUGAGACAGGGUAAUAAGGGGUGAUACAGCUGCCACCUAGUUCUUUCUCAGAACAUGUGCCUUUGGAGCCCUGAGCUGCCAUGGAAGAAAACCACCUACCCUGAAGCCACAACACUGGAAAGACCAUGUGGAAGAACCACAGAGAGAGAGAAGAGGACCAAAUGUGUGAGCCUUCCCAGCCCAGGCUCCAAAUAUGCAAGUAGUAAGCCUUCAUUUCUUUUUGGUUUUAAUUUUUUUUUUUAAAUAAAUCGAAAUGGGUUCUCACUAUGUUGCCCAGGCUGGUCUUGAACUCCUAAGCUCAAGUAAUCCUCCUACCUCAGUCUCCCAAAGUGCUGGAAUUGUAGGCAUGAGCCACCAUGCCCGGCUGCAAUUAGUAAGUCUUCAGAUGCUUCCAUCACCAGCCACCAUCCGAUGACAACCCCAUGAAUGACCCUCAGCAAGAACUACCUAGCUGAAUCCAGCCAAACUCCAGACCCAUGAGAGAGAAAUAAAAUUGUUGUUUGAGUCACUAAAUACGGAGUAAUUUAUAUUAUCAACAGAUAACUGGAACCACAAGUGUAAUUGUUAAAGGUAAAACUUUGAAUACAUUUAUAUUUGCCUUCUGCCACAUUCCAUAAUUGACUUUUGUUCAUGAACCUAUUGGCAAGUUUGCCUUAUUGCUUUUCCUUCUUCCCUCUUUUUUUUUUUUGUAACUUAAAAAAUCAUAUAAUAAAACAACACAAAAAUGUAUUUGAAUGUAGGUUGAGUGACCGUAAAUAAGCACAAAACUUCUCCUUCCUGUGACUCUCUUGUCUGUAUAUGCCAAGUAUCUAACACAAGGCCUGCCUGGCACAUAAUUUUUUUUUUUAAAUGUUAGUCUCUUUUAUCAUUCUUUUUCCCUGUCAGUGGUAUUAUCUUUACCCAUGGAAUCCAGCACCCUCAUGCUGACUUAUAGUUCCCCAAAGUCCCUAACCUCUACAGUCCUCUCCAACCCCCACCCCAGGCCUCUCUCUAUGUUCCAGACAUUUUCUGGCUUUUUACCAUUAUCCAAACUCUGAACUUAUCUACUUAGUUUUUAUAAAAAAACACAGAGUGACUACAUAGCUAAUAUAAAUAAUGCCAGUGUUAACACAAAAAUUUGACUUGAAUGAUUACAAUAGCAAACUUCAAUGUUUACCCCAUGGAAUAGGCAGAAAAUUUCAAGCACUUUUCUAGGCCACCUGAGUCUAUUUUGAGUAAGGAUCCUUAAGUUGAUACUCAAGUAAUGACAUUGAUGCAAUGUAGAAGACUAUGCUAAAAUUUGUCCUGGCUUCUCUCCAUGCUAUGGGCCAUCUGUAAAGCUUUGGAGUCUAGGUCAGAUGUAUGCGUUGUCUCCUCUUUGCUACCAUUUUUGUACAGAUUUCUAAUCUAAAUAAAAUUAAUGGCAAUAACAGUGUGGAAAGGGAAAGCCUAAAAGAAAGAGGGUUUUUGAAGAGUGGGGGACCAGAAAAGAAGAGGACAAUUUUACCUGAAUUGUUUUACUUUAGAAAAUAAAUUUGUUCAUGUGAUUCUGUGAGUCAAUUUACACAUGUAUAUAAAUACACAUUUCUUUAUUUAACCAUUAUUAUUAUCACUAUGUGAUCCCUCAAUGUGCUGGCUACCACGGGUGUAAGAUAAAUUACAGAAACUCCUUAUUCUGAAGGAUUCCAACAACAAUUUGGCAUUGUGCACUGUAUGGGGCCUGGGAAAAUCCUCUGAUUUGCCAUACCUUAGGAAAGGUCUUUGCAUGAUACUAGGCCAUGUCUCUUACUACAAUGAUGAGCAUUCUUAGAUUUAAAAAUAAUACCAAGCUGUCAGGAAAACUGAAUUCCAUCAAUAAUAACAUCUUUUCAUAAACUGAAAGCUUGCAAAGCCUUAAUUAAAAAAAUGAAUUUAUUACUAAGUGAAUUUAAUUCACAAAAGGAAUUUUCCCCAAUAUUUAGGCUGUUGUUGGUUUUGGCUUUGUUUUUAAUUAACAUUUUUAGUUGUAUGGUUUGAUCAAAUACUGAAUUUGAGUUCAAAGAUACAUUUCCUCUGAGGAUGCAGUCUAAAGAGGCCAAGUAAAUAAUAGAAAAUCAUAGUUUCCAAGUUUCGCAGAACAAAGCUCAGUAGUUCCAUGACUUUUUCAGUGUUCUACAGAAUUGAGCUACUCCCUCUUACACAAAAAAGUGCUCUAAUUUUCAUUUUUUUCUUCUUUGCUCAGUUUCUUCAUUUAUUUGCCUACUUUCUUAAUUUCUUCCUAAGUAAAUAUAUAGCUAUCUUUGAGGAGAAGUGAUGUAACAUCAGAAACAAAGAGUAGACUCACAAUUAGAGCCCACUGACUCAUGGGACUUUAGAUAAACCACUAAUCAGGAAACUGGGGGUGUUAAUGCUGUUUAGUUAGUUGAUUGAGGAGGUGAGGACAAAACCUGGUGACUUCAGGGCCUCAGCAACAGAACUCCUACCUAUUUCCAUUGCUACCACUUACCUUAUGGGCAUUAGAUAAUUCUGCAGUGAGUUAUUCUGUGCAUGAGGGGGCAAAGGCUUUAGAGUCAGGUAGCUGGGGAGUUAUUUUCUCUCUCUGCUAUUUAAUAGCUGUAUGACCUCAGGUGAAUUUCUUAAUCUCCGUUUCCUUGUUUGUAAUACCCAUCAUGAGAAGUUGUUCUGAGGAUCACAGAUACUAUACCUAAAGUACCCAACAAAGUCCUGACACAAGGAAGGUGUUCCAUAAACGGUAGCUAUUUGAAGUAGUCUAAAAGGUCCCUUUCAAAUGUUUAAUACACCCAUAUAAUCCCAAUCUUAAUCUCUCACUCUCUUGUUGGCCCAUCAUUAGAGCACCAGAUCCCCUUGACUGCUUUCCAGGGUAAGGAUGCAAGACCACUGAGAACUGUGCCGCGCUGGUAAGAAGAGGUGCUGAUGGCAUGCUGUUGCCUCUGCCAGACAGACUCUGUCUUUGCUGAAGUGUUUAGUAUUGCUAUUGUGGCAAAUGCCAUUUUAGUCAAAGGCAAUAAAUCUUCCUUUGUUUAAAUGACAGAUGGCUAGGAUUGUUACUUCUGUUUCUAGCAAACCCAGAAAGGGAAAAAAUAAAUUACUGACAUUCAGAGUUCUUGUUUUUUAAGAAUAUUAGGGGGAAAAUGAAAAUAGUAUAGUUUCAGCAAAGUUAUAUAGUUUUUGCAGUCAACAGAAUAAUGGGCCCCCUAAUGAUGUUCACGUCCUAACCCCUAGAAUCUAUGAAUAUGUUAGGUUACAGGGCAAAGGGGAAUUAAGAGUGCAGGUGGAAUUAAGAUUAAUUAGCUGACCUUAAGAUAGGGAAUGUAGCAUAAUUUAUCCAGGUGAGCCCAAUAUAAUCACAAUGGAAGACAGAGACAGAAGAAUCAGAGUCAGAGAAGACGUGGCUACAGAGGAGAGAGUGAUGAGAUGUGAGGAUUCUGCCUGCCAUUGCUGGCUUUCAAGAUGAAGGAAGGGGGCCAUGAACCAAGGGGAUGCCUCUAGAAGCUGGAAAAGGUAAGGAAACAGAUUCUCACCUAGACUUCCAGAAAGCUCUGCUGUUGCCUUGAUUUUAGCCUAGUGAGACCCAUUUCAGACUUCCGACCUCCAGUACGUGAAGAUAAUACAUUUGUGUUGUUUUAACCUAUUAAGUUCUAAAAUGGUGAACCCAAUUUCAUUUCUUCUCUCCCUUUACAAGGUAGGUGCUAUUAACAGUGAAAUGACAAUGCAAAAGCAAAGCAGAGGAAAGCACCAGCAAAGGACAUGCCUCGCUGACUGCAGAUUACAGUGUCCUCUACUCAAUUCCUAUCUUAAUAUGUAUCACAUGCCCUGCCUGAGAUAAUGAGGACUCUCCCAUUCCCUCAGUCUUCAGGUUGCCUCUACUUCUCUUCCAUUUUCUUUUUCCUUGAUAUGAUCCUCUUCUUUCUCAUUCUUCUCUUCUUUCAUUUCCUGAGUUGUUUUCUCUCCACUUCUUCCCCCUCUACUCUGAUAGGAAAUAUUAUAGCAGUAGCCCAAGCUAGAAGAAAAAGGACACACCUACCAGCUCCCUCCCUCCCUCACAACACCUACACGGCUGCUGGGGAAGCCUUGAAUGAAAGCUAGAAAAGAACAAAUAGGAAAAGAGGCAUUUGAAAACAGAACAGAAAUAGUCACAGACGGGUGACAGGCAGGAGAUGCCACCUCAUUGACAGCUGCCACCAUUUUCCAUAGAGAAGUUAUUCCAUUGUAGUAUACACCAGGGCUGGGUUUAAAUAUUUUUCCUAUGUACUUGGUAGUAUAGUGGAAGCUCCUCCAUUUCUCUAAAUAGUUAACUGCAUACUUAGAGCUCUUGGUAGCGUUUAGAACACGGAGUUAAUUAUUCUGAGUGUACCUAGCCCCAUCACUGUCUGUAAUCUGUACAAAAUUUGAUAAGCCCUUUUAAGGUAGUUAGAUAUUUAUUGAGACUCUGCUGUAUAUUUGGCAGUGCCCCAGAUAUAGGUAGUGGUGGUGACAGCAAGCAAUAGGACCAGUGGAGCCUGCUUUUUAAUAGAGAGUGAUCUCUCUGGUAUUGUUGUAAGUACAGCAUAUAAGCAACUUGAGGUGUUGUCUUAAAGAUGUGAGCUCACCUAAUUUACACAAGAGCAUCAAAGCCAGAAUUCCUCCCCUUGCUGAUGUUAGCCUGUAACUCUGUGCCUCUCAAGUGUAUAACUUCUUCUGUGGGAAUCAUGCUUCUGAAGCAUGAGGAAAGAACACACCCGUGUUUCCACUUUCUCUGCUGCUUUGCAUGUGAUCCCUCCAGGUAUGCAAAAUAAUGCCUCAAUAUCAUUUUGACCUGUGUUGUCAUUUUACAUAUUUUAUCAGAAGACUUCAUAUCGGAUGGAAGCAAAUCUUUAGAAGGGUUGUUAUAACAACUUGAACAGCCCAUCAUGCUCUAGGCAUGCUCCCUAUCACGGCUAUGUUUUCAUUCAUUAGAGAUGGAGGAGGAGGCGGCUUAAAAUGUGUAAUUCUAAUCACCUAUUCCUACAGCUCUCUAACUGGUCUCCGUGGCUUCUCUUGCCUUCCUCCAGUCUUGCCCGUGAACCUUGAUUAGAGGACAACACAACACUAACAGCCACUCCUCCCUCUCCCUCCUGACUCCUUAUUUGAGUUAGAGGCUCUCGUAACACCUGCGUCUUCCCCUUUGUCAGCAGUCAUCACAACGAAUUGUGAUUGCCUAUUUACUCAUCUGCAUCUCCCACUGAAUUCUGAUCCAUGGUGGCUGGCCCAUGCCUGUCUUGUGUACAUUUGCAUGUAAACCACUUAACCCAAGUGCCAGGAAGCAAACAGUACACGCAGGUGUGUGGAGUGAUUGAAAGCUAAUUUGCUACCUAAGAAUGUACAGUGAUUCCUCAGUGUUUAUUAGAUCAGGCCCAGACUCUUCAUUUCAGUUUUCAACUCCUCUGAUUUUUCUUUUAUACAAGCUUUCAGAUCUCCUCUUGGUUCUCAUCUAGCUCUUGCAUCUUUAUGCCGUGGGUUGAUUCCUCUGCCUGCCUAUCUGUAGUAGCUUGUCUCCUAGGAUGGCUGCCAUCAAUUUCUUCUCUUCUGUAUACACAUGCCACUCCCGCAUUGAGAGAUGGAGUCUUCUUUCCCCCUGGAAUCUGGUCUGGCCUGUGACUAAUUUCAAUAAUAGAAUCUUGCAUUUCUAUUGAAACUACCAAAAAAAAAAAAUUGUGUCAGCUACUACAGCUACUAAGUUUUGGGAUGGUUUGUUAUAUGGCAAUAGAUAUCCUCAAUACCAUUCUUCAAAGUCCCAAACCUACAUUUUCUGUGAAGCCUUACCUUGCUAGUCUAGUUAACACUGAUCUCCUCCUUCUCUGAAGUUCUGUGGGAAUAGAACUUUGUUGAUGCCACACAUUUUGUUAUCCAACUGUAUGUAUUAUUACUUUUCCUUUCCUGAAUGCCAGUAUGAACUCCAUGACCAAAUUAUAUGGUCUUUGAAGAUACCAAAUAGUGGAAAUAGGUCUUUUGUAAUCCCUUCAACAAGUCCUAGUACUGAAUAAAAAUGUAAUGGCUGUUGAAUUGGAUUAAAAGUAAAAAUAUUCUUGGCCAUUUUAGCUCUCUGCCAAUUAUUUUGACUUUUCUUCACAGUAUCUUUGAGCGCAUUCUUUCAUAUCAUGAUUAUAAAAAGCAUGUGUGGCAGCAGGCAGCCCUUAGGAUCCUUCCCCCUGCAGACAGUCUGUGACAGUGCAGUGGUUCUCAAAACGUGGACCAGGAGCAGCAGCACCAGCACCUGGGAACCUGUUAGAAAUGC